UACGUAGGGUGCGAGCGUUAAUCGGAUUUACUGGGCGUAAAGCGUGCGCAGGCGGCCCGUUAAGACAGGUGUGAAAUCCCUGGGCUCAACCUGGGAAUUGCGCUUGUGACUGGCGGGCUCGAGUACGGUAGAGGGGGGUGGAAUUCCUGGUGUAGCAGUGAAAUGCGUAGAGAUCAGGAGGAACACCGAUGGCGAAGGCAGCCCCCUGGGCCUGUACUGACGCUCAUGCACGAAAGCGUGGGGAGCAAACAGG
rnacentral:rRNA from 1 species